GUUCGCCUGCUUCAUGAUGGUCAAGGCCACCAUGACUGAGCGACUCUUUAAUCUGGUCGUGCCGCUGGCUCACGAGGCCACCGCCAUGCGCACCGCAGAUACCGCCGGCAGCAGCCGGGGCCGGUCUGGCGCAGUUUCCCCGCUGAUCGGCGACAGCCUUCGGCGGGGUGACGUAGAUAGCACGAAUGGACG
rnacentral:ncRNA from 1 species